AGCGUCAUUACAUCCUCAAGCCUCGCUUGGUAUUGGGCGCCCGCGGCCUCGCCGCGCGCCCUAAUGUCUCCGGCCGAGCCGUCCGUCUCUUAGGCGUCGUGGUUACUCAGUUCGCCUGGUGAGCGCGGGCGCGCUUGUCGCCGCUAACCCCUCCACUCAAGGUUGACCUCGGAUCAGGUAGGGAUACCCGCUGAACUUAA
rnacentral:misc_RNA from 1 species